rnacentral:rRNA from 1 species
CCGUAGGUGAACCUGCGGAAGGAUCAUUACCGAGUUGAUUCGGGCUCCGGCCCGAUCCUCCCACCCUUUGUGUACCUACCUCUGUUGCUUUGGCGGGCCGCGGUCCUCCGCGGCCGCCCCCCUCCCCGGGAGGGUGGCCAGCGCCCGCCAGAGGACCAUCAAACUCCAGUCAGUAAACGAUGCAAUCUGAAAAACAUUUAAUAAACUAAAACUUUCAACAACGGAUCUCUUGGUUCUGGCAUCGAUGAAGAACGCAGCGAAAUGCGAUAAGUAAUGUGAAUUGCAGAAUUCAGUGAAUCAUCGAAUCUUUGAACGCACAUUGCGCCCUUUGGUAUUCCGAAGGGCAUGCCUGUUCGAGCGUCAUUACAACCCUCAAGCUCUGCUUGGUAUUGGGCACCGUCCUUUGCGGGCGCGCCUCAAAGACCUCGGCGGUGGCGUCUUGCCUCAAGCGUAGUAGAACAUACAUCUCGCUUCGGAGCGCAGGGCGUCGCCCGCCGGACGAACCUUCUGAACUUUUCUCAAGGUUGACCUCGGAUCAGGUAGGGAUACCCGCUGAACUUAAGCAUAUCAAUAAGCGGAGGAA